UACGAAGGGGGCUAGCGUUGUUCGGAAUCACUGGGCGUAAAGCGCACGUAGGCGGAUGUGCCAGUCAGGGGUGAAAUCCCGGAGCUCAACUUCGGAACUGCCUCUGAUACAGCACGUCUUGAGUCCGGAAGAGGUGGGUGGAAUCCCUAGUGUAGAGGUGAAAUUCGUAGAUAUUAGGAAGAACACCGGUGGCGAAGGCGGCCCACUGGUCCGGUACUGACGCUGAGGUGCGAAAGCGUGGGGAGCAAACAGG
rnacentral:rRNA from 1 species